rnacentral:rRNA from 1 species
GAUGAACGCUAGCGGCAGGCCUAAUACAUGCAAGUCGAACGGUAAGGCCCUUUCGGGGGUACACGAGUGGCGGACGGGUGCGUAACGCGUAUGCAACAUGCCUUCCAGCGGGGGAUAUACCAGGGGAAACUUGGCGCAAUACCCCAUAGAAUUACGGGACCGCAUGGUCUUGUGAUUAAAACUCCGGUGCUGGGAGAUUGGCAUGCGUGACAUUAGCUAGUUGGCGGGGUAACGGCCCACCAAAACCGACGGUGGAUAGGGGGUUCUGAGAGGAAGGUCCCCCACAUUGGUACUGAGACACGGACCAAACUCCUACGGGAGGCAGCAGUGAGGAAUAUUGGUCAAUGGCCGAGAGGCUGAACCAGCCAAGUCGCGUGAAGGAAGAAGGAUCUAUGGUUUGUAAACUUCUUUUAUAGGGGAAUAAAGUGGAGGACGUGUCCUUUUUUGUAUGUACCCUAUGAAUAAGCAUCGGCUAACUCCGUG